UUUGGAAGUCCUUAGGAACCACAAGCUGGGGAGAUGUGGGGUCCAACAAAUAGAGAGACAAAAACCAGACGGGGAGUGUGUUGAACAGAGGUGAGGUGGGAUGUGCGGAAAAGCAGAGGCUGAAGGUUGAUGCUCUUUGAUCUCCCGCCAUCUCAGUUUGGCUCAAAGUCAUCGUCCUUAUUCGAGCAGCGUGCUGAAAAGUGGGUCAAGGAGAAGCGCUGGCAAACUGGAAAGAGAUUUUUGAGAUUAAUUACAUUGUAGGGAUGUCAAUUCUGUCAACUGUGCUUUAGCAAAAUGCUGUUUGGUGUUAUUGAUGUCAAACAUGGCGCAACAUGUCUAGAUGGAGCAUAUUUGCGUCUGAUAUUUUAUAGGAAUGAGAUUGGAGAGCUGCACUAGAGGGCAAACUUUUUUUAUAAUUUUAGUUUGUUGUCAUCUUGAAUGUGGUGCAUUAUAACCAGUGUUGGGUAAUUUACUCUCAAAAGUAAUUAAUUACUAGUUACUAAUUACAUAUUCGAUAGUGUAAUUAGAUUACUGUACAAAUUACUCUCUCCAAAAAGUAUGUAGUUACUUAUUACUAAUUACUUUCUAUAUCCUAUAUCCACCUUGAUUAGUUAAGCGAUUGAAGGAUAGACAUGAAAGGGCUCUUUUAAUUCAUUCAAAUAAAUAAUAUUAAACUACAUAAAGUACUCUUAUUAACUGACCAAAGUAUUACAAAUGUGAGCAUUAUACGUUAAAGCACAGAUUUUAAAGUUAGACUUUGAAUUUUGAUGUCAAUUCCACUAUUGCACACACAUAUAAUACACAAAGUAUUUAGUUUAAUUACAUCAAAAGUAACUGUAAUUAAAUUACAGAAAAAAUAAGUUAUCCCUUACUUAAUUUUUCAAGGGAAAUGUAAUUAAAUUACAGUAACUAAU